rnacentral:rRNA from 1 species
GACGAACGCUGGCGGCGUGCUUAACACAUGCAAGUCGAACGGAAAGGCCCUGCUUUUGUGGGGUGCUCGAGUGGCGAACGGGUGAGUAACACGUGAGUAACCUGCCCUUGACUUUGGGAUAACUUCAGGAAACUGGGGCUAAUACCGGAUAGGAGCUCCUGCUGCAUGGUGGGGGUUGGAAAGUUUCGGCGGUUGGGGAUGGACUCGCGGCUUAUCAGCUUGUUGGUGGGGUAGUGGCUUACCAAGGCUUUGACGGGUAGCCGGCAUGAGAGGGUGAUCGGGCACAUUGGGACUGAGAUACGGCCCAGACUCCUACGGGAGGCAGCAGUGGGGAAUAUUGCACAAUGGGCGGAAGCCUGAUGCAGCAACGCCGCGUGCGGGAUGACGGCCUUCGGGUUAUAAACCGCUUUCGCCUGUGACGAAGCGUGAGUGUCGGUAAUGGGUAAAGAAGCACCGGCUAACUACGUG